GGCGGCUUGUCGCUCGUUAACAUCUCAUGGUUGCGAGAGGAAAGUCCGGGCAACACAGAGCGUCACAUUUCUUAACGGGAAGCUGCGGGUGACCGUAGGGUUAAAGUGACAGAAAAUAACCGCCGUGUCCUCACGUGUGGGGAUCGGUAAGGGUGAAAAGGUGGGGUAAGAGCCCACCGGGCGCUGUGGUGACAUAGCGCGCCGCACCACCUGUGAGUUGCAAGUUCAUGUAUACCGGCAUCUAAGGGCUGCUCGUCCAUUGCCGGGGGGUAGAACGCUAUACCGGCGCAGCAAUGCGCAGGACAGAUAAAUGACAGGCACCUGCCACGGCAGGCACAAAACCCGGCUUAUAGCCAUACUG
rnacentral:RNase_P_RNA from 1 species